rnacentral:rRNA from 1 species
UGGAGAGUUUGAUCCUGGCUCAGAACGAACGCUGGCGGCGUGGAUUAGGCAUGCAAGUCGUACGCGAAAGAGGGAGCAAUCCCUUGAGUAGAGUGGCGAACGGGUGAGUAACGCGUGAGGAACCUGCCUUUGACAGGGGGAUAACACUCCCAACGGGGUGCUAAUACCGCAUGAGACCACGGGAUCGCAUGAUCCUGAGGUCAAAGAUGGCCUCUAUUUAUAAGCUAUCGGUCGAAGAUGGCCUCGCGUCCCAUUAGCUUGUUGGCGGUGUAAAAGACCACCAAGGCGACGAUGGGUAGCUGGUCUGAGAGGAUGGUCAGCCACACUGGGACUGAGAUACGGCCCAGACUCCUACGGGAGGCAGCAGUCGAGAGGCUUCGGCAAUGGGGGAAACCCUGACCGAGCGACGCCGCGUGGAGGAUGAAGGCCCUUGGGUUGUAAACUCCUUUUAUUCGGGAAGAAGUGCGAUCAGGUGAAUAAUCUGGUCGUUUGACGGUACCGGAUGAAUAAGCUCCGGCUAACUCCGUGCCAGCAGCCGCGGUAAUACGGGGGGAGCAAGCGUUGUUCGGAAUCACUGGGCGUAAAGGGCGUGUAGGCGGUCAAGUAAGUGGGAUGUGAAAUGCCCCGGCUCACCCGGGGACCUGCAUCCCAAACUGCUUGGCUUGAGUAUGGGAGAGGAUGAGGGAAUUCCUGGUGUAGCGGU